rnacentral:rRNA from 1 species
UACGGAGGGGCUAGCGUUGUUCGGAAUUACUGGGCGUAAAGCGCACGUAGGCGGCUUUGUAAGUUAGAGGUGAAAGCCCAGAGCUCAACUCUGGAAUUGCCUUUAAGACUGCAUCGCUUGAAUCAUGGAGAGGUGAGUGGAAUUCCGAGUGUAGAGGUGAAAUUCGUAGAUAUUCGGAAGAACACCAGUGGCGAAGGCGACUCACUGGACAUGUAUUGACGCUGAGGUGCGAAAGCGUGGGGAGCAAACAGG